rnacentral:rRNA from 1 species
AGUACAACAUAGGAAAUCUGCCUUAGGGUGGGGGACAACAGAGGGAAACUUCUGCUAAUACCCCAUAUGAGCUUGGUUGAAAUAACCAAUCUUGAAAGUUCCGGCGCCCUAAGAUGAGCCUGUGCCUGAUUAGCUAGUUGGUGGUGUAAUGGACUACCAAGGCGACGAUCAGUAGCUGGUUUGAGAGGAUGAUCAGCCACAAUGGGACUGAGACACGGCCCAUACUCCUACGGAAGGCAGCAG